UACGUAGGGUGCAAGCGUUGUCCGGAAUUAUUGGGCGUAAAGAGCUCGUAGGCGGUCUGUCGCGUCGGCUGUGAAAACUCGGGGCUCAACUCCGAGCUUGCAGUCGAUACGGGCAGACUAGAGUGAUGUAGGGGAGACUGGAAUUCCUGGUGUAGCGGUGAAAUGCGCAGAUAUCAGGAAGAACACCCGUGGCGAAGGCGGCUC
rnacentral:rRNA from 1 species